AAAGGAAUUGACGGGGGCCCGCACAAGCGGCGGAGCAUGCGGAUUAAUUCGAUGCAACGCGAAGAACCUUACCAAGGCUUGACAUACACCGGAAACGGCCAGAGAUGGUCGCCCCGCAAGGUCGGUGUACAGGUGGUGCAUGGUUGUCGUCAGCUCGUGUCGUGAGAUGUUCGGUUAAGUCCGGCAACGAGCGCAACCCUCGUCCUAUGUUGCCAGCACGUAAUGGUGGGAACUCAUGGGAUACUGCCGGGGUCAACUCGGAGGAAGGUGGGGAUGACGUCAAAUCAUCAUGCCCCUUAUGUCUUGGGCUUCACGCAUGCUACAAUGGCCGGUACAGAGGGCUGCGAUGUCGUAAGGCGGAGCGAAUCUCAAAAAGCCGGUCUCAGUUCGGAUUGAGGUCUGCAACUCGACCUCAUGAAGUCGGAGUCGCUAGUAAUCGCAGAUCAGCAACGCUGCGGUGAAUACGUUCCCGGGCCUUGUACACACCGCCCGU
rnacentral:rRNA from 1 species